rnacentral:lncRNA from 1 species
AUUAACAUAAGUUUUACACACAAGUUUCAUAUAUUAUUAUUCUGCCAUAAACUAGUGGGAAUUUAUUUUUUAAGAAUAAAUUUUAUUUUUUGAGAAUAAAUUUUAUUUUUUGAGAAUUACAAUUUCUAAUGGUUUCUAUUGAGAGAAUUAUUUUCCUACUGAAAGUAAUUAGAUCAUUUCUUAUUUUAUAUUUGGUUCGUGUUGCUCGACCCAUAAUCGACACAAUGUGAGGUACGA